AUGAACGCUGGCGGCGUGCCUAAUACAUGCAAGUCGAGCGAACGGACGAGAAGCUUGCUUCUCUGAUGUUAGCGGCGGACGGGUGAGUAACACGUGGAUAACCUACCUAUAAGACUGGGAUAACUUCGGGAAACCGGAGCUAAUACCGGAUAAUAUUUUGAACCGCAUGGUUCAAAAGUGAAAGACGGUCUUGCUGUCACUUAUAGAUGGAUCCGCGCUGCAUUAGCUAGUUGGUAAGGUAACGGCUUACCAAGGCAACGAUGCAUAGCCGACCUGAGAGGGUGAUCGGCCACACUGGAACUGAGACACGGUCCAGACUCCUACGGGAGGCAGCAGUAGGGAAUCUUCCGCAAAGGGCGAAAGCCUGACGGAGCAACGCCGCGUGAGUGAUGAAGGUCCUCGGAUCGUAAAACUCUGUUAUUAGGGAAGAACAUAUGUGUAAGUAACUGUGCACAUCUUGACGGUACCUAAUCAGAAAGCCACGGCUAACUACGUG
rnacentral:rRNA from 1 species